rnacentral:rRNA from 1 species
GCGUUGUCCGGAUUUAUUGGGCGUAAAGAGCGUGUAGGCGGCCAGGUAGGUGGGUUGUGAAAACUGGAGGCUCAACCUUCAGACGUCGACCCAAACCCCCUGGCUAGAGUCCGGAAGAGGAGAGUGGAAUUCCUGGUGUAGCGGUGAAAUGCGCAGAUAUCAGGAAGAACACCCGUGGCGAAGGCGGCUCUCUGGGACGGUACUGACGCUGAGACGCGAAAGCGUG